ensembl:misc_RNA Metazoa_SRP Metazoan signal recognition particle RNA
GCCUGGGAUUUUGGCACACGCCUGUAGUCCCAGCUACUCAGGAGGCUGAGACAGGAGGAUCGCUUGAGUCCAGGAGUUCUGGGCUGUAGUGCACUAUGCCGAUCGGGUGUCCGCACUGAGUUAGGCAUCAAUAUGGUGACCUCCCAGGAGCAGGGGGCCACCAGGUUGCCUAAGGAGGGGUGAAAUGGCCCAGGUCGGAAACGGAGCAGAUCAAAACUCCCGUGCUGAUCAGUGGUACACAUUUGUAAUCUCAAUACUUGGAGGUAGAGGCAGGAGAAUCAGACAUUCAAGGCCAUCCUCCAGUUUGAGGCCAGCCUGAACUACAUGGCACCUUGUCGU